rnacentral:rRNA from 1 species
UGCAAGCGUUAUCCGGAUUCACUGGGUUUAAAGGGUGCGUAGGUUGAUUGGUAAGUCAGUGGUGAAAUACUCCGACUCAAUCGGAGAACUGCCGUUGAUACUAUCAAUCUUGAAUAUGGUGGAGGCGGGCGGAAUGCGUCAUGUAGUGGUGAAAUACUUAGAUAUGACGCAGAACACCCAUUGCGAAGGCAGCUCGCUACGCCAUUAUUGACACUGAGGCACGAAAGCGUGGGGAUCAAACAGG